rnacentral:rRNA from 1 species
GGGUUGUGAGGUUAAGCGACUAAGCGUACACGGUGGAUGCCCUGGCAGUCAGAGGCGAUGAAGGACGUGCUAAUCUGCGAUAAGCGUCGGUAAGGUGAUAUGAACCGUUAUAACCGGCGAUUUCCGAAUGGGGAAACCCAGUGUGAUUCGUCACACUAUCAUUAACUGAAUCCAUAGGUUAAUGAGGCGAACCGGGGGAACUGAAACAUCUAAGUACCCCGAGGAAAAGAAAUCAACCGAGAUUCCCCCAGUAGCGGCGAGCGAACGGGGAGCAGCCCAGAGCCUGAAUCAGUGUGUGUGUUAGUGGAAGCGUCUGGAAAGGCGCGCGAUACAGGGUGACAGCCCCGUACACAAAAAUGCACAUACUGUGAGCUCGAUGAGUAGGGCGGGACACGUGGUAUCCUGUCUGAAUAUGGGGGGACCAUCCUCCAAGGCUAAAUACUCCUGACUGACCGAUAGUGAACCAGUACCGUGAGGGAAAGGCGAAAAGAACCCCGGCGAGGGGAGUGAAAAAGAACCUGAAACCGUGUACGUACAAGCAGUGGGAGCACAGAGCAAUCUGUGUGACUGCGUACCUUUUGUAUAAUGGGUCAGCGACUUAUAUUCUGUAGCAAGGUUAACCGAAUAGGGGAGCCGAAGGGAAACCGAGUCUUAACUGGGCGUUAAGUUGCAGGGUAUAGACCCGAAACCCGGUGAUCUAGCCAUGGGCAGGUUGAAGGUUGGGUAACACUAACUGGAGGACCGAACCGACUAAUGUUGAAAAAUUAGCGGAUGACUUGUGGCUGGGGGUGAAAGGCCAAUCAAACCGGGAGAUAGCUGGUUCUCCCCGAAAGCUAUUUAGGUAGCGCCUCGUGAAUUCAUCUCCGGGGGUAGAGCACUGUUUCGGCAAGGGGGUCAUCCCGACUUACCAACCCGAUGCAAACUGCGAAUACCGGAGAAUGUUAUCACGGGAGACACACGGCGGGUGCUAACGUCCGUCGUGAAGAGGGAAACAACCCAGACCGCCAGCUAAGGUCCCAAAGUCAUGGUUAAGUGGGAAACGAUGUGGGAAGGCCCAGACAGCCAGGAUGUUGGCUUAGAAGCAGCCAUCAUUUAAAGAAAGCGUAAUAGCUCACUGGUCGAGUCGGCCUGCGCGGAAGAUGUAACGGGGCUAAACCAUGCACCGAAGCUGCGGCAGCGACGCUUAUGCGUUGUUGGGUAGGGGAGCGUUCUGUAAGCCUUUGAAGGUGUACUGUGAGGUAUGCUGGAGGUAUCAGAAGUGCGAAUGCUGACAUAAGUAACGAUAAAGCGGGUGAAAAGCCCGCUCGCCGGAAGACCAAGGGUUCCUGUCCAACGUUAAUCGGGGCAGGGUGAGUCGACCCCUAAGGCGAGGCCGAAAGGCGUAGUCGAUGGGAAACAGGUUAAUAUUCCUGUACUUGGUGUUACUGCGAAGGGGGGACGGAGAAGGCUAUGUUGGCCGGGCGACGGUUGUCCCGGUUUAAGCGUGUAGGCUGGUUUUCCAGGCAAAUCCGGAAAAUCAAGGCUGAGGCGUGAUGACGAGGCACUACGGUGCUGAAGCAACAAAUGCCCUGCUUCCAGGAAAAGCCUCUAAGCAUCAGGUAACAUCAAAUCGUACCCCAAACCGACACAGGUGGUCAGGUAGAGAAUACCAAGGCGCUUGAGAGAACUCGGGUGAAGGAACUAGGCAAAAUGGUGCCGUAACUUCGGGAGAAGGCACGCUGAUAUGUAGGUGAAGUCCCUCGCGGAUGGAGCUGAAAUCAGUCGAAGAUACCAGCUGGCUGCAACUGUUUAUUAAAAACACAGCACUGUGCAAACACGAAAGUGGACGUAUACGGUGUGACGCCUGCCCGGUGCCGGAAGGUUAAUUGAUGGGGUCAGCGCAAGCGAAGCUCUUGAUCGAAGCCCCGGUAAACGGCGGCCGUAACUAUAACGGUCCUAAGGUAGCGAAAUUCCUUGUCGGGUAAGUUCCGACCUGCACGAAUGGCGUAAUGAUGGCCAGGCUGUCUCCACCCGAGACUCAGUGAAAUUGAACUCGCUGUGAAGAUGCAGUGUACCCGCGGCAAGACGGAAAGACCCCGUGAACCUUUACUAUAGCUUGACACUGAACAUUGAGCCUUGAUG